AUGCUGUUUUCAGGGGUCAUUUCUAUCCUCUGCCCCUGACAAUUGCAGUUUCUCUGAAUGUCUAGAACCCCAGAACACAAGACAGGCAGGAGGCAGCCUUCCCUCCUCAAUGGGAAACCAGCCUUUGGUGUUGCUUCCGCAUCUGCCACUUGCCAUUGAUAAUUGUCUUUCUCUUCCUUUGGGAGAGCAGGAGAGAGGGGAUGGCACUGAGUGGU